rnacentral:tRNA from 1 species
UCAGUGGUGGUUCAGGGGUAGAAUUCUCACCUUCUGUAUGGGAGACCUGGGUUCAAUUCCCAGCCAAUGCA